rnacentral:rRNA from 1 species
UGAGGAAUUUUGGACAAUGGGCGCAAGCCUGAUCCAGCCAUGCCGCGUGCGGGAAGAAGGCCUUCGGGUUGUAAACCGCUUUUGUCAGGGAAGAAAUCUUCUGAGUUAAUACCUCGGGAGGAUGACGGUACCUGAAGAAUAAGCACCGGCUAACUACGUGCCAGCAGCCGCGGUAAUACGUAGGGUGCAAGCGUUAAUCGGAAUUACUGGGCGUAAAGCGUGCGCAGGCGGUUUUGUAAGACAGAGGUGAAAUCCCCGGGCUCAACCUGGGAACUGCCUUUGUGACUGCAAGGCUUGAGUGCGGCAGAGGGGGAUGGAAUUCCGCGUGUAGCAGUGAAAUGCGUAGAUAUGCGGAGGAACACCGAUGGCGAAGGCAAUCCCCUGGGCCUGCACUGACGCUCAUGCACGAAAGCGUGGGGAGCAAACAGGAUUAGAUACCCUGGUAGUCCACGCCCUAAACGAUGUCAACUGGUUGUUGGGAAGGUUCCUUCUCAGUAACGUAGCUAACGCGUGAAG